rnacentral:rRNA from 1 species
AUUGAACGCUGGCGGCAUGCCUUACACAUGCAAGUCGAACGGUAACGCGGGGCAACCUGGCGACGAGUGGCGAACGGGUGAGUAAUGUAUCGGAACGUGCCCAGUUGUGGGGGAUAACUGCUCGAAAGAGCAGCUAAUACCGCAUACGACCUGAGGGUGAAAGCGGGGGAUCGCAAGACCUCGCGCAAUUGGAGCGGCCGAUAUCAGAUUAGGUAGUUGGUGGGGCAAAGGCUCACCAAGCCAACGAUCUGUAGCUGGUCUGAGAGGACGACCAGCCACACUGGGACUGAGACACGGCCCAGACUCCUACGGGAAGCAGCAGUGGGGAAUUUUGGACAAUGGACGCAAGUCUGAUCCAGCCAUGCCGCGUGCGGGAAGAAGGCCUUCGGGUUGUAAACCGCUUUUGUCAGGGAAGAAACGCUCUGGGUUAAUACCUCGGGGUAAUGACGGUACCUGAAGAAUAAGCACCGGCUAACUACGUGCCAGCCGCCGCCGUAAUAC